GAUGAACGCUAGCGACAGGCCUAACGCAUGCAAGUCGAGGGGCAACGGGGCGUAGCAAUACGCUGCCGGCGACCGGCGGAUGGGUGAGUAACGCGUAUGCAACCUGCCUUCAGCAGGGGGAUAGCCCGUUGAAAGACGGAUUAAUACCCCAUAACACAGGGGCUCCGCAUGGAGAUUAUUGUUAAAGGGAUGCUUCCUUCGGGGGUAUUCCGGCUGAAGAUGGGCAUGCGUUCCAUUAGGUAGUUGGUUGAGGUAACGGCUCACCAAGCCUGCGAUGGAUAGGGGAACUGAGAGGUUGGUCCCCCACACUGGUACUGAGACACGGACCAGACUCCUACGGGAGGCAGCAGUGAGGAAUCUUGGUCAAUGGACGGAAGUCUGAACCAGCCAUGUCGCGUGAAGGAGGACGGCCCUAAGGGUUGUAAACUUCUUUUGCAGCGGAAUAAAGUAUUCCACGUGAUGGGAUAUUGCAAGUACGCUGCGAAUAAGGAUCGGCUAACU
rnacentral:rRNA from 1 species